UUCCGGUUGAUCCUGCCGGACCCGACUGCUAUCAGAGUGGGACUAAGCCAUGCGAGUCGACGUAGCAAUGCGUGGCGAACGGCUCAGUAACACGUAGUCAACAUGCCCAGGGGACGUGGAUAACCUCGGGAAACUGAGAAUAAACCACGAUAGGUCACGAUUUCUGGAAUGGAUCAUGGCCUAAAUCUACAUGGCCCCUGGAUUGGACUGCGGCCGAUCAGGCUGUUGGUGAGGUAAUGGCCCACCAAACCUAUAACCGGUACGGGCUCUGAGAGGAGAAGCCCGGAGAUGGGCACUGAGACAAGGGCCCAGGCCCUAUGGGGCGCAGCAGGCGCGAAACCUCUGCAAUAGGCGAAAGCCUGACAGGGUUACUCUGAGUGAUUUCCGCUAAGGAAGUCCUUUGGCACCUCUAAAAAUGGUGCAGAAUAAGGGGUGGGCAAGUCUGGUGUCAGCCGCCGCGGUAAUACCAGCACCCCGAGUGGUCGGGACGAUUAUUGGGCCUAAAGCGUCCGUAGCCGGUCCUGCAAGUCCUCCGUUAAAUCCACCCGCUCAACGGUUGGGCCGCGGGGGAUACUACAGGGCUAGGAGGCGGGAGAGGCAAGCGGUACUCGAUGGGUAGGGGUAAAAUCCACUGAUCCAUUGAAGACCACCAGUGGCGAAGGUGGCUUGCCAGAACGCGCUCGACGGUGAGGGAUGAAAGCUGGGGGAGCAAACCGGAUUAGAUACCCGGGUAGUCCCAG
rnacentral:rRNA from 1 species